rfam:Capsicum annuum cultivar Zunla-1 chromosome 1, whole genome shotgun sequence
GAGCAGUGAUGUUAACCGCACUAAUUGUGUACGAUGGGUCGUCACUUUCACCUGAUAUUUCAGAUGAGAACAUGGUGCACUGAGCUC